UACGAGAGGCCCAAACGUUAUUCGGAAUUACUGGGCUUAAAGAGUUCGUAGGCGGCGCAGAAAGUAGGGUGUGAAAGCCCUCGGCUUAACCGAGGAAUUGCGCUCUAAACUACUGUGCUUGAGGAACCUAGAGGUGAGCAGAACUGAUGGUGGAGCGGUGAAAUGCGUUGAUAUCAUCAGGAAUACCGGAGGCGAAGGGCGGCUCACUGGGGGUUUUCUGACGCUGAGGAACGAAAGCCAGGGGAGCGAACGGG
rnacentral:rRNA from 1 species